GGCAAUCAGCAAUAUGAACAUUUUAAUAAGGUUGCUGUGGUGGUCGAUGAACUGCUUCAUGAGCAAGGCGCCAAGCACAUUGUCCAAGUGGGGUUGGGAGAUGAU